rnacentral:misc_RNA from 1 species
CUAUUGGAUGCGCAAUUCGUUGAUGCGCCCUCUAGCGGUAAACCACUUAGAAAGAACUUGGUGUAACAUCAUCCUACUUCUUUUUUGUUAAUGGAAAAAGUGCAGUAGUUUUUAUUGUCGUCCGACUGAAAAGUUAUCAGUGGAUUAAAGAUUUUUCAGGAUGUCAGAACAAGAUAUACCAAGGUUUAGGAGUGCUGUGGCAGCAGCUAUAGCGCAGGGAUUGGACACGAGUGAAGCAGUGACAGAUUUAUUGUAUGCUAAUGUACCUCUAAAUGAAAAGUUCAAGCUCAUUGACUUUUGUGACCUGGUCAGGAACAAUGCACAGUCGGCAGUCAGUCUCAAGAAGCUGAUACAAGCGAUGAGCAUUCUGGAGAAAUAUGCUCGACACUUGAUGAAACCAGCAGAAAAUCGGUCCAACAUGUGGCGACAUAUAAAGUACAGCAAUAAUAUAUUUCGGGAGAGGGUGGAUGCUAUUCAGGGAGGAAAGUAUAUCAUGUACUUGAUGGGGUACACAGAGAACAGACCAGAUGGAGUGGCAUUUCCUGAUGGUGUCGAGCCAAACCGAGAUCGUAUCCUUAACCUGCUUACGGACCUUGUACAGGGACGGAAGGAGCUGGAAAUAUUCCUUGAGGGACAGCAUCCAAAACCUGGGGAAAUUGAACAGUUCUUAAACCCACAGCUCAGAGCAAGUUUAGAGGGUGACAUAGUACCAUCUGAAAAUGUGAAAACUGGUUCCCAGCCAGGAAUGCAAGGUUUGGUUGGUUCCCAGCAAGGAAUGCAAGGUUUGGUUCCUGACAUGUCAUAUGUGCAAAAUCAGCUGAAUCCAAGUCUUCCUGCCACCUCAAUGCAGUCAGCCACCAACCAGUUGUCACAACAGUUCCCACAGCAAACAAAUCCUAUCAGCAUGGGAGCUAGGCAGAAAACCACUGGGUCAAACAUGGGUCAGAUACCGCAGUAUGCUGAACCCAACCUACCUGCUGUUAGGUCAGAAGUAAAGCAGCCAUAUACAAACACCAGUCAGCUACCACAGAGAAUGCCUGACUAUGCACAAGAUACCUAUAUGCAAAAUUUUCACGCUGAACAACAAGGUCAAGGUCAUAUGACUAGGUCUGACUUGCAAGGUCAAGGUUAUGUUGGUACUAAUAUACAAGGUCAUCAGCAGCUUGCUAGGACAGACUUUCAAGGUCAAGGUCAACUUGGUGAUGCAUACAUUCAAGGUCAAGGUCAGCUUGAUGGUAGAAAUGUUCAAGAUCAGGAGCAAUUUGCUGAGACAUAUAGACAAGGUCAGAGUCAGUUGAGUGUUACAAACCUGCAAGGUCAAGGUCAGCUUGCUAAUAGAAACAUUCCAGGUGAAGGUCAGACAAACCAGUACUACCAAGAUAUGCAGCAGAGACAGAAAGAGGAGCAGCAAAGGAUGCAAGAAGUUGAAAUACCAAAAGAAAAGUAUGAAGUUGAGACCAAGACACCUAGUAUCGCAUGUGACAUAUGCGGGGACAACCAUGCAGUGGUUAUAUGUAAAGUGUGUGAUAACAAACAACUGUGUAAGGGCUGUGACAUAAAGUGGCAUAAUCAUCCAAAACGCCAGAAUCACAAGCUAGAAUAUUUACAUCCGGCUUUAGAUAACAGUAGGCAGACGUCACACAUACCAGAUCUGGGUAAACAAACUGCUGACCCAAGGAUACAAGGUGUAACUGGAGGUGUUCCUAUAUCUAUGUACACAAUGCAGCAGGAACAAGCCAGGCAGGCUCAGCCAGGAUACAGCAUGCAGAACCCACCACAAGAACCAGUCCGGCAGGCUCAGCCAGGAUACAGUUUGCAGAGCCCAGUCCAGAGGCAGCAGAUGAAUCAGUCACCAGUGGAACAGCGCUCACCAAACAGGGAUGUACUUCAAACUCAAUAUAACAUGAAAACUGAUCAGUACAACACACUGGGUCAGAGUUCAAAUGUUGCUUUACCCAGCCCUACCAACUCAGAACAUCUCAAUUCACAUGUGCCAGGAACCAUGCCAGGCAGCUUUAUGUAUACACAACCUAGUAUGAUGGGCCAUAUGCCAGGAACCAUGCACUACCCUGUGUCCAGUGGCAUUUAUCAACAUGGUCAACACGUUCCAUAUGCAAUGACACCACAGAUGAUUCAAGGUCAUGUUGCACAGUAUCCUGUUGGGUAUAUGUCCAAUGUUUACAUGCAGCAACAACCCCAGCAGAUGUCAAUGCAGGGGUAUUUGACUCCUGUUGCUUCAGCAGGUCCAGAUAUCCAAAGGGCAGAAAAUACAAGGUCAGCCACACUACCAAGGUCAUCAAGUUCACAGGCAAUGUCUGCUGCUCCAGUUUUGGUUCAAAAUGUCCGACAUUCUAUAUCAUCUCCCAAAGUAUCCGAGCCAUCAGAAACAUCAAAUGUGAGCCUGAACAGUACCAGCUCAACAAGUUCUGGGUCUGAGCUUCUGCCAGGUAUAAAAGCCAUCAAUAACAUUGAGCGACGACAUUCAAAACUUGAAAUAAGCAUAAUGACCUUAAAAGAUGACCUUAAAGAAUGGGAAGAGAAAAUUAAUGCAAUUAUCCUCCAGAAUCCGAAUUUCUUCCAAGACGAGGAGUACAAAAACUUAAACAGGAAGAAGAGAAAGCAUUUGCAGGAAAUCAAUGAGCUUCAGAAAUACCAGGCAGAGCUGGAGCAACUGGUCGCAGAAAAGCUUCGUAAAGAAGUAAGAGAGGAAAAGGAGAAAAGAGAGAAUGAAGUUGAGACACUGAAACGAAGAUUUAAUCAGAUCAAAACGGGUAACAAUAAUCAACCGGCUGGCUCUGCUUCUGAUAUGUACAUAACACCUGUUUCAGUGGAACAGAUGGUUCCAGUUACCACCGCCUCUGGACCGAUAAAUUCAACUGGCUUAGUGCCGGCUGGUCCUGUGACAACAACUUAUCGCCCACAGCAACUUCAGAAAAAUGCACAGUCCCCAGCUGAACAGAAAUAUGCAGAUGAGAAUUGUCCUCCAUUAAAAUUGAAUAGCUUUGGAGAUGAAUUACCUGAAGAAAUUAAGAAAAUGCUUGUCCUUGACCAGAAUCCACAUGCUCCAAGGCCUCAAGUGCCGGAUGAUAACCUUGGAAUGGCAAACCAAGCCUCUGCAGCCCAAAAUGUUUUACUUCCACCCAAAGUAGCAAAUGACCAAAAUGCAAGCAAGGAAGCCUUCUAUGAAAACAUGAUGGGUUUUAAAAAAGGAAACUCAGAACCUGACCUCCAGCAGGGUGUGGUAGCUCAAAACAGAUCAAAGAUCAAGAAAAGUCAGUCUUCUGAUGAUCUUCCUAUGUGGCAAUGUGAACAUUGCACAUUCUUAAAUGAGUUUGAUACCAAAGCAUGCACCAUGUGCUUUAAAACAUCUGAUAACCCAAAACGAAUUGACCCAAAUAUGCCAACAGUAAGUGAAGAAUAUCCAGGAGGAGAUAAUGUGACAGAAAUUUGCGAAUAUUGUACUGUUUUCAUGGAACCGGGAACAAAAAUUUGCGGUGUUUGUGGAAAAACUCAGACAAAAUACCAAAUUGCAGAUCAAAAGGCUGACACAUAUUUUGAAGCUGGAAACAAAAAUACAGGUCUAGAAGCUGGAAACCAAUCUGGUGACAGAACAUCAAAUGCUGGGAACCAGUCAGCUGGCAGGAAGCCAAGUUCUGGAGACCAGUCCCCUAGCAGGAAGCCAAGUGCGGAAAACCAGUCUGUAAGAGAUGCGACAGAAGACAGUGCUAAUGCUGUUGCAGCAUCUACAGUUGGAAAAUUGAUAGAAGAAGAACAGGACCAGGUUUUUCUUGAAAAGAAAGCUGCUCGUGAGAGGUUUGAAAAAAUGAACAAGUCUCCCGGAGGUAUUGUACCCGCAGCCACAGGUGCAGGGAUGCAGGAAGGGGCAGCAGGAGCGCAUGCGGGUAAUAUUAUAGGCGUACCUAAGGGAACGAAAUAUGAUAUAGAACCUUUGAAACAGGAAGUUAUUCAAGAAUGGAUCAUUGUUGACAAAACUUCUCCAAAAGAACCUGAGCAGGGGAACCCACAACUGGCUGAGAAGAACCUAAAUCCCCCCAACAUGAGUCAUUUAAUGCCUUUGGUUCCACCUUGCCAAGCAGGAGACAUUGCAAAGUUGAGAAAACACUCAGGACAGUCCAGUGGAAGUUCCAGCUCCUAUAACUCUGCGGCAAGCAGCCUGGAGGAAAAUGCUGAAACAAAGGCUAAGGCCAAUAAUCAGGCCGCAGCAUCGGGCAAGGGAACAAAAGCCCCUCAGUUAAACUUUGUGGAGGCAAUAGAACAGAUAAACUUGAAGAGGGAACAAGAGCAGAUGAGUCUAGAUGGCCACGAGAUCAUGACAAUUCUAAAGGAGGGAGAGAGAUCAGGGUACGAGGUCCUGGAGGUUCAGAUUGCCUUAAAACACAGUAUAGAGAACAAGCUGCGACCGUUGGAUUGGCUGAAAACAAAAUGGCCUGAACUGAUUGAUAUUGUUACUACCAUGGCAACGGAGAAAGGAAAAACUGCAGACCAAAAUGAUGUGGGGGAUGUAUCAUCGCAGGAAGCAAAGCAGGCCCUUAUCAAAAGUGAUGGUGAUAUUGACAAAGCUACACAGAUGUGUGUUGAAGAAAGAAUAGCAAAGUAUGCCGAGAUUAAUGCACAUGGCCAGUACGCACGUGAAGACAUUCUCACAGCCCUAUAUCAGAACCAGGGUGACAUAGAGGAGGCAGUGGACCAGCUCAAUCAUUCUGUUGUGCAGUCUUAUGCUGAUAGGCUAUGGGAUAACAAUCCAAAUAGAGGUGGUGACGCAGCAAUAGCGGCUGCUGCUAGGUCUAGGGAACUGACCAACAGUGUGUCAAACAGCGUAAUCAACCAUACAGACUUCCAGAGGCUUGUCAGUGACACAACUAUAAAUAAAGAGAGAAGAGUGAGAAUGGUGUUUGUAGAGGGGAAGUUGAAAAGCUGGGGCCGAGCAGAAAUGGUCGUGACAAUAUUAGACAAGGAGGUAACACUAAGUGAACAUCCUCUUGAGUGUACGCUGGAAGACAUUAUAGAGGCAGUGAGAAACUGUGGUGACAGGAAAAGUUCUCUCGUAUAUCUCACACAGGAGUGUGGGAUCUGUUUUUCCAACUUCCCUAUGUCAAAAAUUCGUGAUCUUGGUGCCUGUAGUUGUAAGCUGUGUCAGUCAUGUGUGAAGCAGUAUUUCGAGGUGGCAAUAAGGGAAAAAUAUGUUAGAAACUGGUGCUGCCCUCUGUGUGAGGCCCCAGGUCUUGAGGACGAGGCCAGAGCUACAAGUUACUUUGAGUUUCUAUCUUUAAUUCUACAGAACCUGGUAUCAAAAGAAGUGAUGGAACUGUACGAGGUGAAAUUACGAGACUGGCAUUUACAGAAAGAUCCUAACUUUAGAUGGUGCUGCUCAUUGUGCCAGUGGAUUUAUUUGGGAUCGUCCAGAUGUUCUCGGCAUGGCGUGUCCAUCUUGUCACCAGAAAACAUGUUUCAUGUGUAAAAUUAAGUGGGAGGAUCAACACGAGGGUUUGACAUGCGAGGAGUAUGAACAGUGGAAGAUUGAUAAUGAUCCUGAGAAACAGGCAAAGGGUGUGAAACUUUACCUGGAAGAAAAUGGUAUAGAUUGUCCUAGUUGUAAGAUGAGAUAUA